rnacentral:lncRNA from 1 species
CGCCGCCGUCACCGCGCUCCGCUGAAUCCGCGUUUCCGGGAUUUCUCUGUAGGUGAGGCGGGAGGCUGGAGGGAGCUGAGCCCCCGGGGAGGGGGCCCGAUUCCGCCUCGCCGCGCCUCUGGCUGCUGGGCCGUGGGUUUUUCUCUUCUCCUGGGAGUAAGGAGGACGACGGCCCCUAACCCCUGAAUUAGCCUUCUAUUUCCAUUAGUGACUUAGAAGCUACCCGGCGCCUCAUCUGGGCUCACCUGAGCUGAGGAUCAGGAAGGGGAGGGGGCACAGUCAUUCCCUCGCGGACGCGGCGGGACCCCAGCGGACGGCUUUGUGCGGACUUUCGGCACCGUUAUGCCCCCCUAGCCCGACACCACCUGGGGCUGGCGCGCCACGUUACUGUUCAGGGCCAGACGCACCGCCCUGCCUGCUCCGGGGAGCCGGACCUCCGAUCCCGGGGAUGGGGGACCCCGAGACCUCAGACCCAACGGAGGGGACUCUGAUACCUCAGACCCCACGCGGGGACCCCGAGGCUUCAGACCCCCACAGGGUGACCCCGAGAUCUCAGACCCCCGCAGGAGUACCUCCAGACCUCAAAUCCCCAGUAAGGGAAUGAAAGAGACUUCGGAUCCCUGAGGCAGCAAAUCCCUGUAGGGGCAUCCCAGGACUCAGGUCACCGCGGGGUGAACCCAGACCUCACAUUCAGGCAAUCCCCAGGACGCCGAUCGGCUGGCACUACCCACUGUCCCGGCCACCCCCCCUGGAGCUCAAAGGCUUGGCCCUCCAGCUGCUCCACCCUGCCGGCAACCAGGCUCAAACCUGCAGCCCGCGGAUCCCCUGCCCCGGAAGCAACCAGAUUCGCGGGAGGUUACCUGACUGAUCCAAGGUGAUACAGCUGGUAACUGAUGGAGAUGUUGGUAGUGAAAUUCAUGUACUUUUAGUUCUUUCUAUGGAAUCUAGAGGUAGAAUACAUGUAAAAGAAUAUCGACUACCGUCUACUCAGGUCUCUGUUUUAUCUGUUUAUUCAUUCACUCUCAGCUUUUAAUAGGAUCCAAUGAGCCCUCUGUGGUUCUGAAGAAUUGCCUUGAGUAUAUGCAGCCUCAAAAAACCCACUUCCUAGGCUCAGUCUUUGAUCAAUAUUUAUCAUUAUCACCAGUUAUUGUUCUAAUAAACUCUACUCUGGAAAUAUGGUGUUAUGGUUUACUUGGGAGUGUGAGUUCAGGGCAUCAUUGAAGACUCACGUACUUUUACUGAGAAAGUGACAUUGAUCUCUGUAGAUUUUGAAUUAAAUGAUAUGAUGAAGUAUAUAAACCAAUUACUUUUGGUCAAGGUGGUAAAAAAAGUUUAGUAUUUGAUAGAUUCUUCAUCUCCACGAUCACAAAUAUUUUCUCCUAGGAUUUCUUCUAGAAAUAUUACUGCUUUAGGUUGUAUAUCAGGUCUAGGUUCUACUUUUUUUUUUUUUUUUCUCCAGGCAGUUUCUCACUCCGUUGCCCAGGCUGGAAUGCAGUGGUGUAAUCACAGCUCACUGCAGCCUCAACCUACUGGACUCAAAGGAUAAGAUCUGCUUUUAAUUAAUUUUUGUAUACGGUAUGGGAUAGGGACCAAAGUUCAUUUUUUUGCAUGUAUACAUAUCCAAAUGUUCCAGCAUCAUUUAUUAAAAAGUUAUUUUUGUCUCUACUGCAUUUCCUUUGUGCUUACAUCAAAAUCUGUGUUGCAUAUGUAUGUGUUUCAUUUUAGGCUUCCUAUUGUGUUCCAUUGAGCUAUUUGUCUUUUUGCUGCCAGCACCAUGCUGUUUUGAUUAUUGUAGCUAUAUAAAUAAGUGAUGAAAUCAGAUAGUUUAUGUCCUACAACUUUAUUUUUCAAGGUUAUUUUGUAUCUUCUAGAUUCUUCAGAUUUCCUUUUAAAUCUUAGAGUCGACUUCUCAUUUUGCACAAAAAAAUACUGCUGGGAUUUUGAUUGAGAUUGUGUUGACUCUACAGAUGAAUUUGGGGAGAAUUGACAUUUUAACCAUAUUGAAUCUUCUGACCCAUUAACAUUUAGGUCUUUUAAAAUUUCUCUGGCCAGACGCAGUGGCUCACGCCUGCCACUUUGGGAGGCCAAGGCGGGCCGAUCACAAGGUCAGGAGAUUGA